rnacentral:rRNA from 1 species
UACGUAGGGGGCAAGCGUUGUCCGGAUUUACUGGGCGUAAAGCGUGCGCAGGCGGUUCGUUGUGUCGGCGGUGAAAGCCCCGGGCUCAACCUGGGAAUGGCCGUUGAAACUGGCGAACUGGAGUGUGGCAGAGGGGGGUGGAAUUCCGCGUGUAGCAGUGAAAUGCGUAGAGAUGCGGAGGAACACCGAUGGCGAAGGCAGCCCCCUGGGCUGACACUGACGCUCAGGCACGAAAGCGUGGGGAGCAAACAGG